rnacentral:rRNA from 1 species
UACGGAGGAUGCAAGCGUUAUCCGGAUUUAUUGGGUUUAAAGGGUGCGCAGGUUGUAUGAUAAGUCAGUGGUGAAAGUCUGUCGCUUAACGGUAGGAUUGCCAUUGAUACUGUUGGACUUGAAUAUGGAUGAGGUAGGCGGAAUGUGUAGUGUAGCGGUGAAAUGCAUAGAUAUUACACAGAACACCGAUUGCGAAGGCAGCUUACUAAUCCGUCAUUGACGCUGAGGCACGAAAGCGUGGGGAUCAAACA